rnacentral:rRNA from 1 species
UACAGAGGGGGCAAGCGUUGUUCGGAAUUACUGGGCGUAAAGGGCGCGUAGGCGGCCUUCUAAGUCGAACGUGAAAUCCCCGGGCUCAACCCGGGAACUGCGUCCGAUACUGGAAGGCUUGAAUCCGGGAGAGGGAUGCGGAAUUCCAGGUGUAGCGGUGAAAUGCGUAGAUAUCUGGAGGAACACCGGUGGCGAAGGCGGCAUCCUGGACCGGUAGUUGACGCGUGAGGCGCGAAAGCCAGGGGAGCAA